UACGGGGGGGGCAAGCGUUGUUCGGAAUUACUGGGCGUAAAGGGCUCGUAGGCGGCCAACUAAGUCAGACGUGAAAUCCCUCGGCUUAACCGGGGAACUGCGUCUGAUACUGGAUGGCUUGAGUUUGGGAGAGGGAUGCGGAAUUCCAGGUGUAGCGGUGAAAUGCGUAGAUAUCUGGAGGAACACCGGUGGCGAAGGCGGCAACCUGGACCAACACUGACGCUGAUGAGCGAAAGCCAGGGGAGCAAACGGG
rnacentral:rRNA from 1 species